CAGCAGCCGCGGUAAUACGGAGGGUGCAAGCGUUAAUCGGAAUUACUGGGCGUAAAGCGCACGCAGGCGGUUUGUUAAGUCAGAUGUGAAAUCCCCGGGCUUAACCUGGGAACUGCGCUUGUGACUGCACAGCUAGAGUGUGUCAGAGGAUGGUGGAAUUCCCGGUGUAGCGGUGAAAUGCGUAGAGAUCGGGAGGAACAUCAGUGGCGAAGGCGGCCAUCUGGGACAACACUGACGCUGAGGCACGAAGGCGUGGGGAGCAAACAGGAUUAGAUACCCCGGUAGUCCCUGUCUCUUAUAC
rnacentral:rRNA from 1 species